rnacentral:rRNA from 1 species
AUGGCGGACCAUUUCGCGGUGAUGGCGGGCCGGCUGCUCACGGCGUCCACGGUGCAGUCUGCCAUCGACGAGGCCUCCAAUGCUGCUUCGUCUUCGGCGCCGACGUGUCGUGAAAAGGCCGUCGUCGUUGAAGACGGUGGCGGCAGGCCGAAGAGUGGCGUGCUGGUGGAAUGCAGGAUCUGCCAGGAGGACGGCGACGAGACAUGCAUGGAGGCCCCUUGCUCCUGCAAGGGCAGCUUGAAGUAUGCUCACCGGACAUGCGUCCAGAGGUGGUGCGACGAGAAGGGGGACACCAUAUGUGAGAUAUGCUUGCAGCAAUUCACACCAAACUACAAGGCGCCUUCCAAGUUGUUUCAGCAGGGAAGAAACUCCAUUUUCUUCAGAACCCCUGCGUACAUCCAAGCACAGGCCCGGAGCUCUUCCACAUCGACAAGCUACGAGUACGAUCGCCAAGCUUCCACCCCAAAGGCUGUAAUCUGUUGCCGCAUAAUUGCUAUAACUCUGAUGCUUCUCCUGGUGCUCCAUGACGCCAUCUCGGUCUACCUCGGCGAUCAAGGCGUCUACACCGUCGCUCUUGUCACCCUGCUGAUGCUUAGAACUGCUGGAAUUGUGAUACCGGUCUACAUCAUCUUGGUCGCGGUGACCGAAGUGCUUUAUCGACGCAGCGAGUGGCGGGCUAUGCAUGGUCAGGUUUCAGAACCAGAAGCCACAGGGAGCACGCAGCCGGUGCCAAUUCCGCCGCAGCAACAGCGUGUGGUUAUCACCAUCCAGUAG